rnacentral:misc_RNA from 1 species
UAUACGGUAAUUGAGGAGGUGGAGGUUUCAGAAUAUUAUAAACUUUAAAUUCUGACUUAACAAUGAGCCAAAGUAACGAUGAUUGUGAUGGUGGAUUUAUAUUAUGAACUUUAAAUCCUGGCUUAAGCAACUAUGAUUGUAACGAUGAAACAAUGAUUAUGAUGGUGAAAUUAUAUUAUAAGCUUUAAAUUCUGACUUUGCGAUUCGAUUACAAAGCCAAAGCCAAGGCAAGGUGUUAGAAGA